rnacentral:lncRNA from 1 species
UGGAGCGAUGCGAGGGAUGUUGCCGCCGACACCGCCUGAUGCACCGGGUUGGGUGUGAGACCCGUGCGCGACGAGUAGGGGCUGUUUCUUUUUGGGGAUAGUUAGCCGACACUGAUGAUGGGGAGUUGUUGCACGUGAAAUGUAGAGGGUCGAGGUUUCUUUUUGAGGUUUUAGGCUAGACGUGGCUGAGUCCUAGCUUUUCCUUUUUGAUGUACCGAUCCAAAAGAAAUCCCAUCUUGAAAAUAUAUAUGUAAAUAAAGUGUCAUGGC